rnacentral:rRNA from 1 species
CCUACGGGUGGCUGCAGUGGGGAAUUUUCCGCAAUGGGCGAAAGCCUGACGGAGCAAUACCGCGUGAGGGAGGAAGGCUCUUGGGUUGUAAACCUCUUUUCUCAAGGAAGAAAGAUGACGGUACUUGAGGAAUCAGCAUCGGCUAACUCCGUGCCAGCAGCCGCGGUAAUACGGAGGAUGCAAGCGUUAUCCGGAAUGAUUGGGCGUAAAGCGUCCGCAGGUGGCACUUCAAGUCUGCUGUCAAAGCACAGAGCUUAACUCUGGAAAGGCAGUGG